UGAUGAUGCAGAGGAGAAGCAGAUGGAAGACCGGUUGGUGGAGAGCUGGCUAAGCGACCUCAAGAAUCUGGCUUAUGAUGUGGAAGACAUCUUGGAUGAAUUUGCCACUGAAUUCUUGCAACGCCGGUUGAAGGGAGAACGUCAAGCCAGUGCAAGUAAGCUUCGGAAACUCAUUCAUUCUGUUACUGCUACAAUCAGUCCAGGAACUGUCUUCUUUAAUUCAACACUGAUGUCCAAGAUGGUGGAGAUCACUGCAAGAUUUCAAGAGAUAGCAAAACAGCAGCAAGACUUGGGUUUGAUAAAGAAAAAUGUUGGAGGUACGUCCUCUAGUAAGGUAUGUAUACGACCAUCCAGUACAUGUUUGCAUCAUGAACCUGAAGUCUAUGGCAGAGAUGAAGAUAAGAGGAAGUUACUUGAUUUGCUUUUGAGGGACGAAACAAGUGAUGUGAAAGUUGGAGUAAUA
rnacentral:misc_RNA from 1 species